UUGCUUGUAAAAUACAAAUUUGCUUUAUCAUUUCAUCAUAUUGAUCGGUAAAUGAACAGUAUUGUGUGUGCGUUAUUUUCCACGGGAAUGACGUAGUUGAGAAUUUAUUUUAUUAGAAAACAAACUCAAGUGAUGCGCACAUUGAAUUAUUGAUACCGCAUAAAUUUACAGUAACUAUUACUCCGAUUUACUCCGAUUUGAGCUGAGAAAUAAACAUUUUUAAAUAUUGUAAAUCAAAAUGUGGC